rnacentral:rRNA from 2 species
UGGCGUAAGCGCGCGCAGGUGGUUUCUUAAGUCUGAUGUGAAAGCCCACGGCUCAACCGUGGAGGGUCAUUGGAAACUGGGAGACUUGAGUGCAGAAGAGGAAAGUGGAAUUCCAUGUGUAGCGGUGAAAUGCGUAGAGAUAUGGAGGAACACCAGUGGCGAAGGCGACUUUCUGGUCUGUAACUGACACUGAGGCGCGAAAGCGUGGGGAGCAAACAGGAUUAGAUACCCUGGUAGUCCACGCCGUAAACGAUGAGUGCUAAGUGUUAGAGGGUUUCCGCCCUUUAGUGCUGAAGUUAACGCAUUAAGCACUCCGCCUGGGGAGUACGGCCGCAAGGCUGAAACUCAAAGGAAUUGACGGGGGCCCGCACAAGCGGUGGAGCAUGUGGUUUAAUUCGAAGCAACGCGAAGAACCUUACCAGGUCUUGACAUCCUCUGAAAACUCUAGAGAUAGAGCUUCUCCUUCGGGAGCAGAGUGACAGGUGGUGCAUGGUUGUCGUCAGCUCGUGUCGUGAGAUGUUGGGUUAAGUCCCGCAACGAGCGCAACCCUUGAUCUUAGUUGCCAUCAUUAAGUUGGGCACUCUAAGGUGACUGCCGGUGACAAACCGGAGGAAGGUGGGGAUGACGUCAAAUCAUCAUGCCCCUUAUGACCUGGGCUACACACGUGCUACAAUGGACGGUACAAAGAGCUGCAAGACCGCGAGGUGGAGCUAAUCUCAUAAAAACCGUUCUCAGUUCGGAUUGUAGGCUGCAACUCGCCUACAUGAAGCUGGAAUCGCUAGUAAUCGCGGAUCAGCAUGCCGCGGUGAAUACGUUUCCGGGGCCUUGUACACACCGCCCGUCACACCACGAGAGUUUUGUAACACCCGAAGUCUGUGGGGUAACCUUUAUGGAAGCCAGCCGCCUAUGUGGGACAGAUGAUUUGGGGGGUGAAAGUCGUAACAAGGUUAACCCCAUUU